rnacentral:rRNA from 1 species
ACGAACGCUGGCGGCGUGCUUAACACAUGCAAGUCGAACGGAAAGGCCCUGCUUUUGUGGGGUGCUCGAGUGGCGAACGGGUGAGUAACACGUGAGUAACCUGCCCUUGACUUUGGGAUAACUUCAGGAAACUGGGGCUAAUACCGGAUAGGAGCUCCUGCUGCAUGGUGGGGGUUGGAAAGUUUCGGCGGUUGGGGAUGGACUCGCGGCUUAUCAGCUUGUUGGUGGGGUAGGGGCUUACCAAGGCAUUGCCGGGUAGCCGGCCUGAGAGGGUGACCGGCCACAUUGGGACUGGGAUACGGCCCAGACUCCUACGGGAGGCAGCAGUGGGGAAUAUUGCACAAUGGGCGGAAGCCUGAUGCAGCAACGCCGCGUGCGGGAUGACGGCCUUCGGGUUGUAAACCGCUUUCGCCUGUGACGAAGCGUGAGUGACGGUAAUGGGUAAAGAAGCACCGGCUAACUACGUG